rnacentral:rRNA from 2 species
GGAUUGACACAUCGGUCGUGCCUUAAGGGGUAUGAACUGGUGUAGUCAAUUUCUCACCUUCUGGAGAACCACGAUGCCCUUAAUUGGGUGUCGCGGGGAACCAGGACCUUUACUUUGAAAAAAUUAGAGUGUUUAAAGCAGGCAUUUUGCUUGAAUACAUUAGCAUGGAAUAAUAAAAUAGGACGGCAUGAUUCUAUUUUGUUGGUUUCUAGGAUCACCGUAAUGAUUAAUAGGGAUAGUUGG